AAGGUACCUUUCUUGGCUAACCCUUUCGCUUUAUGGCAUACUCGUUUGGGUUGGGCGUCGGCUAAGAGUGCUCGGAGCGUGGAUUAACUCCAGUCUCCAAUCAGGUAAUUUCCAGCCUUAGACGGAUCGGGGCUGCGAGGGGCUCGGAGGAAGCCACACACACUGUUUAUGUUACAGUUUUGAUUAUUACUUUUAAAUGUUUUUAUGAGGGUUAUAGUAAAGCCGUUGUAAUUUUCUGGAUUUCAAAUUUGGAAUUUUAUUUAUUGUUCUUAUAAUUACUAGUAUUAGAACACGGUUUUCCAAAG